rnacentral:misc_RNA from 1 species
UAGUUUUACAUAAAUAGUAAUAUUUUCACAUAGUACAGUGCAACGUGAGGUCCACAAUCGCAGACAAAAUUAGGCAAUAACAGGUAAUAUAUGCAAGGCAAUAUAAGUAAUAUGUAUAGCUUGGAAAUUGUAAUCGUUCCUCGCUCGCUCGUAAAAAUCUAGUCCAACCUCACAACCGAUCCGACACGUUAGCAAAUGUUAAAUAUGUCGCCUCCGUAUCGAAUAACGAACGCAAGAGGGCUUGUUUUUAGGUAAGGCUAUAGUUUUCGAGCGAGCGCAGCGAUCGAGGGACGCGUAAAGGUGUGUCACAAACCAACGGUUGGGCACAUAGGGACAUUGAAAUAUUCGCACCAGCCCGAGGAGCCGGAAGUCUUUAUCCUAUUGCCUGCUGACAAAUGUUUACAGUUUGUGAAUAGUUUCACAUAAAUAGUACUAUUUCCAC